ACGUAUACGCUUCGGUUCCUGUGCGCCGUCCACACCGUCUGACGACUGCUCGCCAGGUGUUGUUGCCC
rnacentral:sRNA from 1 species